rnacentral:rRNA from 1 species
UACAGAGGGUGCAAGCGUUGUUCGGAAUUAUUGGGCGUAACGGGUGCGUAGGCGGUGCGGUAAGUCUGUAGUGAAAUCUCUGGGCUCAACUCAGAGUCUGCUAUAGAAACUGCCGUGCUAGAGUGUGGGAGAGGUGAGUGGAAUUCCCGGUGUAGCGGUGAAAUGCGUAGAUAUCGAGAGGAACACCUGCGGCGAAGGCGGGUAGCUGGGCCGACACUGACGCUGAUGCGCGAAAGCCAGGGGAGCGAACGGG